rnacentral:rRNA from 1 species
UACGUAGGUGGCAAGCGUUGUCCGGAUUUACUGGGCGUAAAGAGCGCGCAGGCGGUCGAGUAAGUCGAAUGUGAAAGCCCCCGGCUUAACUGGGGAGGGUCAUUCGAUACUGUUUCGACUUGAAGGCAGGAGAGGGCAGCAGAAUUCCCGGUGUAGUGGUGAAAUGCGUAGAUAUCAGGAGGAACACCUGUGGUGUAGACAGCUUACUGGACCACGACUGACGCUGAGACACGAAAGCGUGGGUAGCAAACAGG